rnacentral:rRNA from 1 species
GACGAACGCUGGAGGCGUGCUUAACACAUGCAAGUAGCACGCAGUUGCGAACGGGUGAGUAACGCGUAGGUAACUGCCUGGUAGCGGGGGGUAACUAUUGGAAACGAUAGCUAAUACCGCAUACUACCCGAUGGACCUGCGUUGUAUUAGCUAGUUGGGGGGGUAACGGCUUACCAAGGCGACGAUACAUAGCCGACCUGAGAGGGGGAUCGGCCACACUGGGACUGAGACACGGCCCAGACUCCGACGGGAGGCAGCAGUAGGGAAUCUUCGGCAAUGGACGGAAGUCUGACCGAGCAACGCCGCGGGAGUGAAGAAGGGUUUCGGAUCGUAAAGCUCUGUUGUAAGAGAAGCGGUAUCUUACCAGAAAGGGACGGCUAACUACGUGCCAGCAGCCGCGGUAAUAC